rnacentral:rRNA from 1 species
AUCUAUGGCCAUGCCACUCUAAACAUGCCAGAUCUCCUCUGUGGAAGCUAAGCAGGGGCAGCCUGGUUAGUACUUGAAUGGGAGACCACCUAGGAAUACCAGAUGCUGUAUGCA